rnacentral:rRNA from 1 species
AAGAAACCAACAGGGAUUGCCUCAGUAACGGCGAGUGAAGCGGCAAAAGCUCAAAUUUGAAAUCUAGUGCCUUCGGUACUCGAGUUGUAAUUUGAAGAUGGCAACUUUGGAAAUGGCCUUUAUCUAUGUUCCUUGGAACAGGACGUCACAGAGGGUGAGAAUCCCGUCUGAUGAGGUGAUCCAUUUCUUUGUAAAGUGCUUUCGAAGAGUCGAGUUGUUUGGGAAUGCAGCUCUAAGUGGGUGGUAAAUUCCAUCUAAAGCUAAAUAUUGGCGAGAGACCGAUAGCGAACAAGUACAGUGAUGGAAAGAUGAAAAGAACUUUGAAAAGAGAGUGAAAAAGUACGUGAAAUUGUUGAAAGGGAAGGGUAUUAGAUCAGACUUGGUUGUUUACGAUUAUCUUUCCCUUGUGGAUUGUGCACUCGUGCUCAGCUGGGCCAGCAUCGAUUGGUGUGGUGAGAUAAUGACUGUUGGAACGUGGCCUUCGGGUGUUAUAGCCUUCAGUAAAUAUCACCUACGUCGAUCGAGGACU